AAAUUCGGGCCUGCUACACAUACAAGUAUCCAAGCAUCCAAGUUGGCCCAGCCCAAAUCGAAGACACGCGCAUAAGGAAGCAUAACAUGGCGCGUCAAAAUCACGCGCUCAACACAAACGGUUACGUAUGGCAGACUCUUCCACUUCCUCCACUUCUUCCACUUCUCAAAACGCUUCGAAACCAAGGAAACGCUCCCAUUUUCGAGCAAAAAUCAAAGUUCAAAAUAUACAAAUCGUUGUUCGAAACCUCCAUCAAAACAACAUCAAACUCUCCGUGAAGAAUCUGAAGAGAAAACGAAGCAAAUACACUCAACACAAAAUGGCAGCAAGAAACCAAACGAAAGACCUUAAGUGUGCCACACAUCUCCUGAGUGAUAAGUUCACAAAAUGUCUUCUUUACUUUAAUAGAUAGGUCUAUUUCGUUAGUUGUGAUGGGUGUAUAUUGUCCAUUCAGUUGGAUGUAUCUUGUCCAUUCAUUCGGGUGUAUUACUGAUUUGUUUUCGUAUUUAAGGGAUACGUAUUUUCAAGAUUGAUAACAUAUGCCGGUGGGAAACCUCUUCAGAAAGGGGAGAGGGAGAAGGAAAUUAAAUCACCAUAUGUUAAAAUAUCAGGCCAAAAAACAAGCUAUGACUGCGCUGUGUACGUUAUGAAGUGGAUGGAGAUAAUUGAGCCGGAAAACAUCAAAAAGGGGAAGUAUCAAUGGGAUAAUUGGCCACAAGAGGAGGUGGACCACUAUAGAGUGGAGUACGCAUCCCGGAUACUAUUCAGUGAGAUGAAUACACAGAGAGAUCAGGCAAUUAGAGAGAGUAGUGCUAUAAGGCUGUCGAAGCCAUCCUCUAUAUUAUUAAGUCCGUUUUGUCAGAUUAAUUCUGCUGAUAUAAAAACUGGGUAGUUUGUAAAUUGAACAAAUGAUGUAAAUAUUUGCCAUUUAUCAACAACUUCUAUUCCAUGUAUAUUUUUUCCCA